AAAAUUAAGGGGAAAGUUAGAGCUUAGACAAGGCUAUAAUUUGGCGACAUUAUCUCUACCCCAAAAAACACCAGUAACCUCCUAAAACAACCACUUUCUAGCCAGUAACCACCAUCGAUCCACCAUGACCUAGCCAGUAACCACCGCCUACGACGGUGAUGUUCACCGAUAAUCAUUAAUAAUAGUCGAUCUUGUCUGCAAUUCAAAACCCAGUUCACAUCUGUUAACUCAAGUUUCUUUAUCACGGAUUCAAGACACUUCAGAGACCUAGCUACGGAUGUUUUGUACCGUUUGCUAUAUUUGGAAAAAAAGGAAAUUGUUGCUGAUGCAGUGAAUCAAAUUUAUGCCUUGAAAGUAUUGUCUUGCGAAAAUGAGGAAGCAAAAAUAAUAUUUGGACCCAUAAACAUACCUCCCCUCACAGCUCCUGAAGCGGUACAAUCAGAGAAGCCAGAGGACUCAAUGCAGAUUGCACGACAUGGGAACAACUAGAGAUGAAGGGAGCUGAAGCGACAUUCCGAUGGGAAGCAGAAUAAAGUUGACACACCAUCUCGUUUAGAAGCGACUCUGAACCUACUCUACUGUUGUUGAUUGAAAAGUAUGCAAAUACAAGGGAGCAGAGAUAUAGGAUAAACGCAGACUUUGAAAACAAGGAAAAAUUUGAUAUAAACUUUAUUGCUCUAGAUUUCAGUUUAAUUAGGAAGUUUGAUGUAAUAUGGGAAGCUAAACUAUCAUUUUUUUGUAACAAGUAUGCAAUACAACAUACUUGGAAAGAUACUACC